rnacentral:rRNA from 1 species
GACGAACGCUGGCGGCAUGCCUAACACAUGCAAGUCGAACGGAGAUUAUUUCGGUAAUCUUAGUGGCGAACGGGUGAGUAACGCGUGGGCAACCUGCCCUCUAGAUGGGGACAACAUCCCGAAAGGGGUGCUAAUACCGAAUGUGACAGCAAUCUCGCAUGAGGAUGCUGUGAAAGAUGGCCUCUAUUUAUAAGCUAUCGCUAGAGGAUGGGCCUGCGUCUGAUUAGCUAGUUGGUGGGGUAACGGCCUACCAAGGCGAUGAUCAGUAGCCGGUCUGAGAGGAUGAACGGCCACAUUGGGACUGAGACACGGCCCAGACUCCUACGGGAGGCAGCAGUGGGGAAUCUUCCGCAAUGGGCGAAAGCCUGACGGAGCAAUGCCGCGUGAGGGAUGAAGGAAUUCGUUCCGUAAAGCUCUUUUGUUUAUGACGAAUGUGCAGAUUGUGAACAAUGAUCUGUAAUGACGGUAGUAAACGAAUAAGCCACGGCUAACUACGUG